rnacentral:rRNA from 1 species
CUACCAGACUCCUACGGGAGGCAGCAGUGGGGAAUAUUGGGCAAUGGAGGCAACUCUGACCCAGCAACGCCGCGUGAAUGAAGAAGGCCUUCGGGUUGUAAAGUUCUUUAAUUGGGGACGAAGGAAAUGACGGUACCCAAAGAAUAAGCCCCGGCUAACUACGUGCCAGCAGCCGCGGUAAUACGUAGGGGGCAAGCGUUAUCCGGAUUUACUGGGUGUAAAGGGAGCGUAGACGGCGAUACAAGUCUGGAGUGAAAGCCCGGGGCUCAACCCCGGGACUGCUUUGGAAACUGUGUUGCUGGAGUGCUGGAGAGGCAAGCGGAAUUCCUAGUGUAGCGGUGAAAUGCGUAGAUAUUAGGAAGAACACCAGUGGCGAAGGCGGCUUGCUGGACAGUAACUGACGUUGAGGCUCGAAAGCGUGGGGAGCAAACAGGAUUAGAUACCCCCGUA